AGUGAACGCUGGCGGUAGGCCUAACACAUGCAAGUCGAACGGCAGCACAGUAAGAGCUUGCUCUUACGGGUGGCGAGUGGCGGACGGGUGAGGAAUACAUCGGAAUCUACUUUUUCGUGGGGGAUAACGUAGGGAAACUUACGCUAAUACCGCAUACGACCUACGGGUGAAAGCAGGGGAUCUUCGGACCUUGCGCGAUUGAAUGAGCCGAUGUCGGAUUAGCUAGUUGGCGGGGUAAAGGCCCACCAAGGCGACGAUCCGUAGCUGGUCUGAGAGGAUGAUCGGCCACACUGGAACUGAGCCACGGUCCAGACUCCUACGGGAGGCAGCAGUGGGGAAUAUUGGACAAUGGGCGCAAGCCUGAUCCAGCCAUACCGCGUGGGUGAAGAAGGCCUUCGGGUUGUAAAGCCCUUUUGUUGGGAAAGAAAAGCAGCAGGUUAAUACCCCGCUGUUCUGACGGUACCCAAAGAAUAAGCAACGGCUAACUUCGUG
rnacentral:rRNA from 1 species